rnacentral:rRNA from 1 species
UACAGAGGUGCCAAGCGUUAGGCGGAAUCACUGGGCUUAAAGCGUGUGUAGGCGGAUCGUUAAGUGCCUUGUGAAAUCCCAUGGCUUAACCAUGGAACUGCUCGGCAUACUGGCGGUCUUGAGCCCUCUAGGGGCUACCGGAACAAAUGGUGGAGCGGUGAAAUGCGUAGAUAUCAUGUGGAACGCCAAUGGUGAAAACAGGUAGCUGGGGAUGUGCUGACGCUGAGACACGAAAGCCAGGGGAGCGAACGGG